UACGUAGGGGGCUAGCGUUGUCCGGAAUCAUUGGGCGUAAAGCGCGUGUAGGCGGUCCGGUAAGUCCGCUGUGAAAGUCGGGGGCUCAACCCUCGGAUGCCGGUGGAUACUGUCGGGCUUGAGUACGGAAGAGGCGAGUGGAAUCCUGGUGUAGCGGUGAAAUGCGCAGAUAUCAGGAGGAACACCAAUGGCGAAGGCAGCUCGCUGGGACGGUACUGACGCUGAGACGCGAAAGCGUGGGGAGCAAACAGG
rnacentral:rRNA from 1 species